UGAGCUUGAUCAUGGCUCAGAUUGAACGCUGGCGGCAGGCCUAACACAUGCAAGUCGAGCGGCAGCGGGAAGUAGCUUGCUACUUUGCCGGCGAGCGGCGGACGGGUGAGUAAUGUCUGGGAAACUGCCUGAUGGAGGGGGAUAACUACUGGAAACGGUAGCUAAUACCGCAUGACCUCGCAAGAGCAAAGUGGGGGACCUUCGGGCCUCACGCCAUCGGAUGUGCCCAGAUGGGAUUAGCUAGUAGGUGAGGUAAUGGCUCACCUAGGCGACGAUCCCUAGCUGGUCUGAGAGGAUGACCAGCCACACUGGAACUGAGACACGGUCCAGACUCCUACGGGAGGCAGCAGUGGGGAAUAUUGCACAAUGGGCGCAAGCCUGAUGCAGCCAUGCCGCGUGUGUGAAGAAGGCCUUAGGGUUGUAAAGCACUUUCAGCGAGGAGGAAGGGUUCAGUGUUAAUAGCACUGUGCAUUGACGUA
rnacentral:rRNA from 1 species